rnacentral:tRNA from 1 species
GCGGAUGUGGCGAAAUUGGCAGACGCAUCAGGUUUAGGUCCUGACGCCGCAAGGCGUGGGGGUUCAAGUCCCUCCAUCCGCACCA